UGGGGAAUUUUGCGCAAUGGACGAAAGUCUGACGCAGCAACGCCGCGUGGGUGAUGAAGGUCUUCGGAUUGUAAAACCCUGUCGUCAGGGACGAAGGUAAGCAGCUUAAUACGUUGUUUGCUUGACGGUACCUGGAGAGGAAGCCCCGGCUAACUCUGUGCCAGCAGCCGCGGUAAUACAGAGGGGGCAAGCGUUAUUCGGAAUUAUUGGGCGUAAAGGGCGCGUAGGCGGUUUUUUAAGUAGGAUGUGUAAUCCCCGGGCUCAACCUGGGAACUGCAUCCUAGACUGGAAGACUAGAGUGCUGGAGAGGGUGGUAGAAUUCCACGUGUAGCGGUGAAAUGCGUAGAGAUGUGGAGGAAUACCAGUGGCGAAGGCGGCCACCUGGACAGUAACUGACGCU
rnacentral:rRNA from 1 species